UCGAGAGUUUGAUCCUGGCUCAGGAUGAACGCUAGCGGCAGGCUUAACACAUGCAAGUCGAGGGGUAUAGUUCUUCGGAACUAGAGACCGGCGCACGGGUGCGUAACGCGUAUGCAAUCUACCUUUCACAGAGGGAUAGCCCAGAGAAAUUUGGAUUAAUACCUCAUAGUAUAGUACCUUGGCAUCAAGGAACUAUUAAAGAUUUAUCGGUGAAAGAUGAGCAUGCGUCCCAUUAGCUAGUUGGUAAGGUAACGGCUUACCAAGGCUACGGAUGGGUAGGGGUCCUGAGAGGGAGAUCCCCCACACUGGUACUGAGACACGGACCAGACUCCGUACGGGAGGCAGCAGUGAGGAAUAUUGGUCAAUGGGGCGCAAGCCUGAACCAGCCCAUGCCGCGUGCAGGAUGACGGUCCUAU
rnacentral:rRNA from 1 species